AUUGAACGCUGGCGGCAGGCCUAACACAUGCAAGUCGAGCGAGCGGCGGACGGGUGGGUAGUGUAUGGGGAGUGCCCGAUAGAGGGGGAUAACUACUGGAAACGGUGGCUAAUAGCGCAUACUAUCGGAUAACCGAUAUGGGAUUAGCUAGUAGGGGGGGUAAAGGCUCACCUAGGCGACGAUCUCUAGCUGGUCUGAGAGGGUGAUCAGCCACACUGGGACUGAGACACGGCCCAGACUCCUACGGAGGCAGCAGUGGGGAAUAUUGCGCAAUGGGCGCAAGCCUGACGCAGCAAUGCCGCGUGUAUGAAGAAGGCCUUAGGGUUGUAAAGUACUGUCAGCAGGGAAGCGGUACCCGCAGAGAAAGCACCGGCUAACUCCGUGCCAGCAGCCGCGGUAAUAC
rnacentral:rRNA from 1 species